rnacentral:rRNA from 1 species
UACAGAGGUCCCGAGCGUUGUUCGGAUUCACUGGGCGUAAAGGGUGCGUAGGUGGUUAGGUAAGUCCGAUGUGAAAUCUCCAGGCUCAACCUGGAAAUGGCAUUGGAUACUAUUUAGCUUGAGGAGUGGAGGGGGGACUGGAAUUCUCGGUGUAGCGGUGAAAUGCGCAGAUAUCAGGAGGAACACCGGUGGCGAAGGCGGGUCUCUGGGCCGUAACUGACGCUGAGGAGCGAAAGCGUGGGGAGCGAACAGG